rnacentral:lncRNA from 1 species
GUGGCUAUCAUACAGAACCACACAUCCUGUUGCAAGCUUUGACGUAAUCACUCAAGGCAAGGCAAACUCUCAUCGACAAGCAGCAAAAGCAAAGAUGGUUCUGUGCUAUGUACUGGAUUGUAACCACCACUCCGUGCAUUUUAUCGUUUUUGACCUCUGUAAGCGAGAGUCGUUGCUGGAGCUGUGUGACAAGAGUCAGAGAAUGCCCCUGGCAUCAUGUCUGCAAGAAGGAGUACUCUUAGUCAUCCAAUCAAGUGUGUCCCUGAAAAGGCUAUGGGCAUGUGUGGCCCUUCACCUACCUGUCCUCCACGGAUGAAGCUCAUGAGCCAAACGCAAGAUACAUGCCUCCCGCUUUUGCUGGCACACCCCUCCCUUCUGGCAACUACCAACAUGGAUGGUUGUGGCAGGGGACAACAACCUCAAGAGCCAGGGAGACCCUCUUGUGCCAGGGCGGCAUGGCUUAAAGGACGUCUUGUGCCAAGGCAGGAAGACAUGGUUAGGAGAGAACAACAACCCAAGGCCACACAUUCAUGCAGAAUAGGCCUUUCUUUGGACUGCUCACACAAACUCCUUGAGGGACACACAGACUCAGUAAUUUGUGUGCACAGUGAACCAAAGUACUACAUUUGUACUAAAAUGUAGAGUUUUAAUCUUGUUAAUAAAAUGAAACCUGAU